GAUCCUGGCUCAGGAUGAACGCUGGCGGCGUGCCUAACACAUGCAAGUCGAACGGAGCUGUUACAGAUCAAGGCUUGGCCAAGUGAAGUUUCAGCUUAGUGGCGGACGGGUGAGUAACGCGUGAGUAACCUGCCUUUCAGAGGGGGAUAACGUUUGGAAACGAACGCUAAUACCGCAUAACGUAAGGAGAUCGCAUGGUCACCUUACCAAAGAUUUUAGUCGCUGAAAGAUGGACUCGCGUCUGAUUAGAUAGUUGGUGAGGUAAACGGCCCACCAAGUCGACGAUCAGUAGCCGGACUGAGAGGUUGAACGGCCACAUUGGGACUGAGACACGGCCCAGACUCCUACGGGAGGCAGCAGUGGGGAAUAUUGCACAAUGGGCGCAAGCCUGAUGCAGCAACGCCGCGUGAGGGAUGACGGUUUUCGGAAUUGUAAACCUCUGUCUUUGGUGACGAAGAAGUGACGGUAGCCAAGGAGGAAGCCACGGCUAACUACGUGCC
rnacentral:rRNA from 1 species